UACGUAGGGUCCGAGCGUUGUCCGGAAUUACUGGGCGUAAAGAGCUCGUAGGUGGUUUGUCACGUUGUUCGUGAAAACCCACAGCUCAACUGUGGGCGUGCGAGCGAUACGGGCAGACUAGAGUACUGCAGGGGAGACUGGAAUUCCUGGUGUAGCGGUGGAAUGCGCAGAUAUCAGGAAGAACACCAAUGGCGAAAGCAGCUCUCUGGGACGGUACUGACGCUGAGACGCGAAAGCGUGGGGAGCGAACAGG
rnacentral:rRNA from 1 species